rnacentral:rRNA from 1 species
UACGUAGGGGGCAAGCGUUGUCCGGAUUUAUUGGGCGUAAAGAGCGUGUAGGCGGCCAGAUAAGUCCGCUGUGAAAUCUCGAGGCUCAACUUCGAGCUGUCGGUGGAAACUAUCUGGCUAGAGUCCGGAAGAGGAGAAUGGAAUUCCUGGUGUAGCGGUGAAAUGCGCAGAUAUCAGGAAGAACACCCGUGGCGAAGGCGGUUCUCUGGGACGGUGCUGACGCUGAGACGCGAAAGCGUGGGGAGCGAACAGG